GGACCCGCACAAGUAGUGGAGCAUGUGGUUUAAUUCGAAGAUACGCGCAGAACCUUACCAACACUUGACAUGUUCGUCGCGACUUUAAGAGAUUAAAGUUUUCGGUUCGGCCGGACGAAACACAGGUGCUGCAUGGCUGUCGUCAGCUCGUGUCGUGAGAUGUUGGGUUAAGUCCCGCAACGAGCGCAACCCUCACUUUUAGUUGCCAUCAUUUAGUUGGGCACUCUGAAAGAACUGCCAGUGAUAAGCUGGAGGAAGGUGGGGAUGACGUCAAGUCCUCAUGGCCCUUACGUGUUGGGCUACACACGUGCUACAAUGGUAUCUACAACAGGAAGCAAAACGGCGACGUUAAGCAAAUCCUAAAAAAUGCCUCAGUUCGGAUUGUACUCUGCAACUCGAGUACAUGAAGCUGGAAUUACUAGUAAUCGC
rnacentral:rRNA from 1 species